rnacentral:rRNA from 1 species
UACGUAGGCAGCAAGCGUUGUUCGGAAUUACUGGGCGUAAAGCGCGUGUAGGCGGCUUGGCAAGUUGGAUGUGAAAGCCCACGGCUCAACCGUGGAAGCGCAUCCAAAACUGCUUCGCUCGAGUCUCGGAGAGGAAGGUGGAAUGCUUGGUGUAGAGGUGAAAUUCGUAGAUAUCAAGCAGAACACCUGCGGCGAAGGCGGCCUUCUGGACGAUGACUGACGCUGAGACGCGAAAGCGUGGGGAGCAAACAGG